CACUUUGCAAUUGGAGAUUGCU
rnacentral:miRNA from 3 species